rnacentral:rRNA from 1 species
UACGAGGGGGGCAAGCGUUGUUCGGAAUUAUUGGGCGUAAAGGGUGCGUAGGCGGUUUGGUAAGUCUUAUGUGAAAUCUACAGGCUCAACUUGUAGUCUGCAUGAGAAACUGCCGGGCUUGAGUAUGGGAGAGGUGAGUGGAAUUCCUGGUGUAGCGGUGAAAAUGCGUAGAUAUCAGGAGGAACACCUGUGGCGAAAGCGGCUCACUGGACCAUAACUGACGCUGAUGCACGAAAGCUAGGGGAGCAAACAGG